GAAAUGGGCUCUUCAAUUUCAAGUUGGUCGGGACUAGAACGAUCUACAGCAUCAUGUGCAAACUUUCUUUGUUUAUCUUGCUGUUAAUCCAAGUUCCUGCAUCUGCUAGGGUGUGGGUGAACCAGUGGUCCUUGAAAAAUUCUUACAUAGCAGGUGAAACAGCAACUCUCUAUUGCAACAUUACAUCAGAUCAAGAGAAGAUAAUAUUUUGUAGAAUGAAAUGGGUCAUCAAAGAUCAAGGUGAUCUACUAAAAGCAGAAUCCUAUAAGCAUCGUGUCAACAUGAGCUCCACCAACACUGCUGCUUCCAUGACAUGGAGAAACCUGACCUUAAAAGACACCAUGCCAACCUGCAUAGCACAAUGCCACAUUGAUGGUGUCUUUCAAAAUACUUAUGGGAAUGGUGGCACACUUCACAUUUUUGAUGACAUCAACCAGAUGACAACACUGGCCCCAAAGGAAUUCAAAAAAGAAAAUGAUCUCGCUUGGCUCAAUUACAUUUUUAUUAGCAUAAACAUCUUGAUUUUCUUUGUGGCCACAGUUAUUUGUGCGUCAUACUUCCGAACCCAAAUGAAGAGGAAUUAAGAAAAGGAAAUGUAUAGUAGUAGCAGCUCUGUUCCUGUGUGCCCUGUCCCGGUGAAUCGAUGAUCGACAUUCAUUUUUCAUCAAUGUUCACUGUAUAAAGUAUGUUUGUCUGCUGGUUAAUUUAAGCUAACUUUUCGUGGACUAGUCCUGAAUUCAAAGUAUUUAUGCCCAGUCACUAUCUGAACACAAAUAUGUUUAAGUUUUUUAUUAAAUACAGUGUUUGUUUUUAAAUCUAUAACUUAAGGCAUAGUAUAUGUCUAUUGUGUAACUGCUUUGUAGUUAAUGUGCUUGUUUGUUGCUGUUUUUUCUUAAUAUGAAAUAAAAGUAUGCAUUAUGGAUGAAGGCCAUGCCCUAUUCAGUCAUUAGGUAAGGCGCUAAAAAUCAGUUAUGUCACUUUCCACGCAGUAAAAUUUGGUUGAUAAUGAAAUCUUGAUUGAAAUUGAAAGGGAAUUUAUAAAGUAUGCUAUAGCCACCAUAAACUAUAGUACGCUAAACUAAAGUCGACUGUCCUUUUAAUUUGUCUACAUAUAUUGUUAAAAUGUUUUCUGACAUGGGUUUCACCAGAGGCUUGCUUUUACUUUCACUUCCAGAAGUUACAGUAGACUAGUCAUGGCUAGGCAUAGCCCUGGACUAAUAAUACAUAUUUAGGCUACAUUUGGAUAUUGUCUUUUUUUAUGUUCAUACAUGUUCAUACAUAUAUCUCCUGAGUGGCG